GCUCAGGACGAACGCUGGCGGUGCGCCUUAUGCAUGCAAGUCGAGCGAAGCUUUUCAGUAGUUUACUACAGAAAAUGACUGAGCGGCGAACGGGUGAGUAACGCGUGAGCAAUCUACCUUAGUUACAGGGAUAGCCCGAGGAAACUCGGAUUAAUACCUGAUAUUCUUUAUUUCUCGCAUGAGAAUAAAAGGAAAGGUCAGCCGAACUAAGAUGAGCUCGCGUUCUAUCAGCUUGUUGGUGAGGUAAAAGCUUACCAAGGCUACGACGGAUAGCUGGUCUGAGAGGACGAUCAGCCACACUGGGACUGAGACACGGCCCAGACUCCUACGGGAGGCUGCAGCAGGGAAUAUUGUGCAAUGAACGAAAGUUUGACACAGCGACACCGCGUGUGGGAUGACGGAUCUAGGUUUGUAAACCACUUUCAGGAGGGAAGAAAAUGACGGUACCUCCACAAGAAGCCCCGGCCAACUACGUGCCAGCCGCCGCGGUAAUA
rnacentral:rRNA from 1 species